UGAGCUGAGUAUGCAAAUAAAACAUGCAACAUCCUCCUGAGACACAAGUCUAAGCAAUGCUGCUCAGAGAGCCAACAACGUAAAAUGGUUCCUGGCCCUGGACACGGAGGAAAGCAGCUUUUCGACAAGGCUCUUGGGCAGACAUGAGAUGGGGAAGCACUGCACUCGCAGCCAUCUCUCCCAGGGGCAGUCAUCAAUCAUCCCUUUGGUAGAGUGCGUCAAGGGCUCAUGUGCAUCAGAUGUCCUAGCCAGGAAGUGGCACUGAAUUCAACAUGAACAAGACAGAGCUUAAAAGUUGUUUCUACAAGGACCAGGAACUUUAAAACGGUUUUGAUGUUAGGUUCUAUUGUUCAAUGAACUGAUAUCUGUGAAGGGCCUCUCGAUGCUUGAACAGCCAGGAUCUCUGUAAUCAAGUGCUCCUCUUCCCACCAAUCACUGAGGGUAAGAGGUAAUUUCUUAAGACCAAAAGCUCUUAGUUUCAAAUUAAGACUACGUCCGUGUAUGUAUGCAGUAGAACAGGAUAUAACAAAAGUGUUGGUUCCUUUCCCUCCUCCAGAGCUCGUGAAACCCGCCUGCCAUCAUCAGCGGCAAUGCCAGGGUUUGGGAGAGCUUCUGGCUGACCUGCUGUUCAGCUGGCCUCCACCCUUCCCCCAACCACCAGGACAUUUAAGCAAAACAACCUGCUUUUGCCCGAAUGACCCAGGUUGAUGAGGCCUGGAGACAUCUGAGAUGUAGAUCACAAGAGCUUCUGAAAAUUCAACUAUUAAAUCAACACAAUGUAUCAGAAUAGAGAUAUAAAAAAUGGAUUCCCGGACCAAUAGAACUGAGACGUAACUUCACAUAUCUAAGGAAAGAGGUUAAUUAAAAAAAGAGAUUGAUCAUCUGUGGAAGCCUGGAGGGGGGACCAAUAACCUUCAAUUACUGAGCACUUACCAAAUGUGAGGAAUUGUGCUAAAUAUUUUAUAUAAUUAUCUAAUUAAUCCUUACAACAGUCUCCAAAAGUAGGUAAAGAUAUCCAUUUUUUUUUUUUCAAACCCAAAUCUCUUACUCUUAAUUACUGUGCAAGGAAGAGGAAGUAUUAGUCAACAUAUUUCAAGUAUUAUGGCCCCAUGAUCAAAAUUACCUGUAUGAAGAUGGACAUGUUAGCGCAUCUGGGCCUGGAUACACUAAAUAUUGAAUCAUCUGACUAUGGCCCCUCGUUCUGAUUCUGUGGUCACAAAGCAACUUUAUGAAUCUAAUGUGGCUUCUCAUGUAGGUCUUCCAGCCCUAGACUGGCUAGCAACUCUUCUAUAUACUACAGUGUUUGUAUCUGUCUUGGAAAAUUAUUUGGUGUAUAGACAUUGACCUUGUGAAUGUGAGAGAUGAUUCCACCUGGUAGCAGAAACUCAAUCUUAUUCUGUUUAAAAAAAUCAGGGAAUACACUGAGGACAAAGAUAAUGUCACUCUAUGAGAACUUUGGGAAGGCAUCUAAAUGAUGUUUUUAUUGAUUUAUUUGCUUGUCCAUUUGUUAUUCUGCGUGACUGCUGUGUGGCAGAUGCUGUGUGAAUUAUUGGAAAUAUAGUGCAAUGAUAAGACAGAUAUCCUUCUUGUCCUCAAGACCUAGAAUACUAGUAGGAAACACAAACAUUGAACAAAUCAUCGUGCAAUUAAAACAAGUAAAACUUCUACAAUGGUAAAUCCUCUGAAGGACUGCAGGGUAAAAUGAAGG
rnacentral:lncRNA from 1 species